rnacentral:rRNA from 1 species
CCAGACUCCUACGGGAGGCAGCAGUGGGGAAUAUUGCACAAUGGGGGAAACCCUGAUGCAGCAACGCCGCGUGGGUGAAGGAGCGUUUCGGCGCGUAAAGCCCUGUCAGCGGGGAAGAAGAAAGACGGUACCCGACCAAGAAGCCCCGGCUAACUACGUGCCAGCAGCCGCGGUAAUACGUAGGGGGCAAGCGUUAUCCGGAAUUACUGGGUGUAAAGGGAGCGUAGACGGUGAUGCAAGUCUGGAGUGAAAGGCGGGGGCCCAACCCCCGGACUGCUCUGGAAACUGUGUAACUUGAGUGCAGGAGAGGUAAGCGGAAUUCCUAGUGUAGCGGUGAAAUGCGUAGAUAUUAGGAGGAACACCAGUGGCGAAGGCGGCUUACUGGACUGUAACUGACGUUGAGGCUCGAAAGCGUGGGGAGCAAACAGGAUUAGAUACCCCCGUA